rnacentral:rRNA from 1 species
CCUACGGGAUGCUGCAGUGAGGAAUAUUGGUCAAUGGACGAGAGUCUGAACCAGCCAAGUAGCGUGAAGGAUGACUGCCCUAUGGGUUGUAAACUUCUUUUAUAUGGGAAUAAAAUGUUCCACGUGUGGGAUUUUGUAUGUACCAUAUGAAUAAGGAUAGGCUAACUCCGUGCCAGCAGCCGCGGUAAUACGGAGGAUCCGAGCGUUAUCCGGAUUUAUUGGGUUUAAAGGGAGCGUAGGUGGAUUGUUAAGUCAGUUGUGAAAGUUUGCGGCUCAACCGUAAAAUUGCAGUUGAAACUGGCAGUCUUGAGUACAGUAGAGGUGGGCGGAAUUCGUGGUGUAGCGGUGAAAUGCUUAGAUAUCACGAAGAACUCCGAUUGCGAAGGCAGUUCACUGGACUGCAACUGACACUGAGGCUCGAAAGUGUGGGUAUCAAACAGGAUUAGAUACCCGAGUAGUC